rnacentral:lncRNA from 1 species
GCCAACACCACCAUGCAGGCCCCGUAACCCCGCUCAGGAGAGGGACCUGAAGCAUGAGGUGACUUCUGCCCAGCCUGUGGUGGGGGCACCCAGACACAGGUUCAAGCUGUGUGGGAUCCCUGUGCAGGAUCCAAGCCUCUUUGACCAUCUCCUGGACUUUCAGCCACGAGGAAAGGCCUCCCUGCCUUGGGGUGCAGAGCUGAGAGGUGCCUCACAGCCAGCACCUGAGCUGGGUCCUGCAUGGAGCAUCCUGGCCCCAGGCAUUUUUCCUUUUUGACUUGCUCACGAAUCAAACCCGGUUUGAAUACAGAGCCUCAGGCCAUUUCUGCCUCGAUUCAGAUCUUACAAGCAUAGCUGCAAACCUACCAAGAAGUUUUUCAUGUGUCUGCCUUCUCUGGAUUCAGCGCAGCAAAGGCCACAUCUAGCUGAAAUGAAUACCCAUGUGUGAGAAGCAACGACGGUGUCUUGUUGUGGAAAGCUUGUGCUCACCGAGGCUGGAAAGACCUUCAAAGAAAAGCUCUGGUGAUCCUGGGCAACUGGGAAUUCUCACGUUGAUGAUAGAUCAAACCAAGACUUCCAAUGUAACUGCUGUACAAAUUGUCAGCCUGACCUCUCUCUGCACCUGUCCUGUUUGGAGGACGACAUUUUCAAAAACAGCCCAACAAUUCAUGCCUACAAGAGCCCUUGGAAGCAAUAAUGGAGCAAUAACCACCCACCUGUUUCUGGACUCACAAACCAGGUCAGCAAGCAUGAAAACCUUGUCAUCUUUGCCUCUGAAGAACAUGUGCCUUUCUGUGAGAAACAAACUCCUUAUUUAUUUAUUUUUUUCCUUUUCUGAUCCUACUUUUUCUCCUUGAAUCGGUGAUUUGUUGUUGUUGUUUGGUGGAGGGGCUGAGGGAGGGAAAUGGGGGCAGUUUGCAAACGAUGUGACUUAACAUGACAGGAGUUAAUCAGAGUUCAUGUGCCAAGCCAGCAUUAGUCAAAGAAAGCGCUGCUGCUCUUUCUGGGAGAAUAAACAUCUUUGUGCAGUUCAGCUGUCUUGGUAUUUUGGCAGGGGGGGAGAAAAAAAGGUUCAAAGAAAUGCUGUAGGAUCCUUGCCUGCCUAUGAUUUAUAAUGUACAUGGCAUCUGUAGAGCAAAGAGGACUGCAAAGUGCAGUGCAGAGAAAAAUGCUGCUACAGAGUUGAAGUGGGGUUAUCUGAAGCACCUAAUUUUGCUCUUGGUGAAAAUUUGUACUGUUGCUCAAAG